rnacentral:rRNA from 1 species
UCCAGACUCCUACGGGAGGCAGCAGUGGGGGAUAUUGCACAAUGGGGGAAACCCUGAUGCAGCGACGCCGCGUGAGUGAAGAAGUAUUUCGGUAUGUAAAGCUCUAUCAGCAGGGAAGAAAAAAGACGGUACCUGACUAAGAAGCCCCGGCUAACUACGUGCCAGCAGCCGCGGUAAUACGUAGGGGGCAAGCGUUAUCCGGAUUUACCGGGUGUAAAGGGAGCGUAGACGGCAAUACAAGUCGGAAGUGAAAUACCCGGGCUCAACCUGGGAACUGCUUUGGAAACUGUAUGGCUGGAGUGCUGGAGAGGUAAGCGGAAUUCCUAGUGUAGCGGUGAAAUGCGUAGAUAUUAGGAGGAACACCAGUGGCGAAGGCGGCUUACUGGACAGUAACUGACGUUGAGGCUCGAAAGCGUGGGGAGCAAACAGGAUUAGAUACCCUGGUAAA